CUGAUUUUACACAAGUGUCAUCACUUGUUUACCUUUAAUGGGUAAGUAAAAAUUUUAAGUGCAAAAACGCAAUAUGUUUUAAUUUUCGCACAAGCGCCGACGCUGGAUAUCGCGCGGGCUAUAAGGAAUACCAACUGGAGUGUUGGCACGUAGCGGGGAGUCGUGGACCGACCGCGGACCAGCGCGGUACCGGCGUUAGACGAGAUGAGGCCCUUGGAUAAGGGACGGACAGCGGGAUGCUGUUCCGUUGUGGGGGUCGGCGGACAGACCGACAGUGAACAAAUAUGGCGUAUCCAACGCCAGGAACAAGCUGGGGCGAACGGUCGUAGGCUGCACAGGACUUGGAAGGAACAGGAGGUGCACCUG